UACGUAGGGUGCAAGCGUUGUCCGGACUUAUUGGGCGUAAAGCGCUCGUAGGCGGUUUGUCGCGUCUGCUGUGAAAUCCCGAGGCUCAACCUCGGGCUUGCAGUGGGUACGGGCAGACUAGAGUGCGGUAGGGGAGAUUGGAAUUCCUGGUGUAGCGGUGGAAUGCGCAGAUAUCAGGAAGAACACCGGUGGCGAAGGCGGGUCUCUGGGCCGAUAUUGACGCUGAGGAGCGAAAGCGUGGGGAGCGAACAGG
rnacentral:rRNA from 1 species